UACGUAGGGUGCAAGCGUUAAUCGGAAUUACUGGGCGUAAAGCGUGCGCAGGCGGCUCGGAAAGAAAGAUGUGAAAUCCCAGGGCUUAACCUUGGAAUGGCAUUUUUAACUCCCGAGCUAGAGUAUGUCAGAGGGGGGUAGAAUUCCACGUGUAGCAGUGAAAUGCGUAGAGAUGUGGAGAAAUACCGAUGGCGAAGGCAGCCCCCUGGGAUAAUACUGACGCUCAGGCACGAAAGCGUGGGGAGCAAACAGG
rnacentral:rRNA from 1 species